AAAGGAAGUUGACGGGGCCCGCACAAGCGGAGGAGCAUGUGGUUUAAUUCGAUGAUACGCGAGGAACCUUACCUGGGCUCGAACGUAAGAUGACUGUAGGUGAAAGCUUACAUCUCUUCGGAGCAUUUUACGAGGUGCUGCAUGGUUGUCGUCAGCUCGUGCCGUGAGGUGUCGGGUUAAGUCCCAUAACGAGCGCAACCCUACCUUUAGUUGCCAUCAGGUAAUGCUGGGGACUCUAAAGGAACUGCCUACGCAAGUAGUGAGGAAGGCGGGGAUGACGUCAAAUCAGCACGGCCCUUACGUCCAGGGCUACACACGUGCUACAAUGGCCGAUACAGAGGGCAGCUACCUGGUGACAGGAUGCAAAUCUCCAAAGUCGGUCUCAGUUCGGAUCGGAGUCUGCAACCCGACUCCGUGAAGUUGGAUUCGCUAGUAAUCGCGCAUCAGCCAUGGCGCGGUGAAUACGUUCCCGGGCCUU
rnacentral:rRNA from 1 species